rfam:Perkinsus marinus ATCC 50983 gcontig_1104296692136, whole genome shotgun sequence.
GGUCUCGUGGCCUAAUGGAUAAGGCGUUGGUCUACGGAACUAAAGACUAUAGGUUCGAGUCCCAUCGAGAUCG